rnacentral:rRNA from 1 species
ACGAACGCUGGCGGCAUGCCUAACACAUGCAAGUCGAACGAGAUCUUCGGAUCUAGUGGCGCACGGGUGCGUAACGCGUGGGAAUCUGCCCUUGGGUUCGGAAUAACUCAGAGAAAUUUGAGCUAAUACCGGAUGAUGUCGAAAGACCAAAGAUUUAUCGCCCAGGGAUGAGCCCGCGUAGGAUUAGCUAGUUGGUGGGGUAAAGGCCUACCAAGGCGACGAUCCUUAGCUGGUCUGAGAGGAUGAUCAGCCACACUGGGACUGAGACACGGCCCAGACUCCUACGGGAGGCAGCAGUGGGGAAUAUUGGACAAUGGGCGAAAGCCUGAUCCAGCAAUGCCGCGUGAGUGAUGAAGGCCUUAGGGUUGUAAAGCUCUUUUACCCGGGAUGAUAAUGACAGUACCGGGAGAAUAAGCCCCGGCUAACUCCGUG